rnacentral:rRNA from 1 species
GUGCCAGCCGCCGCGGUAAUACGGAGGGUGCAAGCGUUAAUCGGAAUUACUGGGCGUAAAGCGUACGCAGGUGGUUAAUUAAGUCAGAUGUGAAAUCCCUAAGCUUAACUUAGGAACUGCAUUUGAAACUGAUUAGCUAGAGUUUUGUAGAGGGGGGUAGAAUUCCAGGUGUAGCGGUGAAAUGCGUAGAGCUCUGGAGGAAUACCAGUGGCGAAGGCGACCCCCUGGACAAAGACUGACACUCAUGUACGAAAGCGUGGGGAGCAAACAGGAUUAGAUACCCUGGUAGUCCAUGCUGUAAACAAUGUCAAUUUGAAGGUUGUAGCCUUGAGUUAUAGCUUUCGUAGCUAACGCGUUAAAUUGACCGCCUGGGGAGUACGGCCGCAAGGUUAAAACUCAAAUGAAUUGACGGGGGCCCGCACAAGCGGUGGAGCAUGUGGUUUAAUUCGAUGCAACGCGAAAAACCUUAUCUAUUCUUGACAUCCAAAGAAUAAAACAGAAAUGUUUUAGUGCCUUAGGGAACUUUGAGACAGGUGCUGCAUGGCUGUCGUCAGCUCGUGUUGUGAAAUGUUGGGUUAAGUCCCGCAACGAGCGCAACUCCUAUCCUUUGUUGCCAUCGAGUAAAGUCGGGAACUCAAAGGAGACUGCUGGUGAUAAACCGGAGGAAGGUUGGGGACGACGUCAAGUCAUCAUGGUCUCUUACGAAUAGGGCUACACA